AUGGCGGGGCCAAACAGGUGUUGUAACUCGUUCAUAAUUGGCACGCAGAUCGGUAGAAAUAGUAAGAUAAAUUAGCACUCCAAAUGGAAAUGGAAAAAAGUUAGCCAAUUUUUAACGGAAACUUCAGGAGCAUAACGUCAGAAUAUACGAAGGCCAGCAGCAGGAAACCAGAUUGUGACUACAACUACGUUACGAAGUCUCUAGCCACACUGUGUUACACUGGACCUGAGCCCUAGGACCAUGCCUCAGGACUACCUGACAUGAUGACUCCUUGCUGUCCCCAGUCCACCUGGCCGUGCUGCUGCUCCAGUUUCAACUGUUCUGCCUUAUUAUUUGACCAUGCUGGUCAUUUAUGAACAUUUGAACAUCUUGGCCAUGUUCUGUUACAAUCUCCACCCGGCACAGCCAGAAGAGGACUGGCCACCCCAUAUAGCCUGGUUCCUCUCUAGGUUUCUUCCUAGGUUUUGGCCUUUCUAGGGAGUUUUUCCUAGCCACCGUACUUCUACAACUGCAUUGCUUGCUGUUUGGUGUUUUAGGCUGGGUUUCUGUACAGCACUUUGAGAUAUCAGCUGAUGUACGAAGGGCUAUAUAAAUAAAUUUGAUUUGAUUUUGAUUUGA